AAGGCUACCAGUUAUACCACUGCCUUGACAAUAAUAUCAUUAGUCAUGAGGUCAUUUGACUGCAGGAAAAGGCUACCAGUUAUACCACUGCCUUGACAAUAAUAUCAUUAGUCAUGAGGUCAUUUGACUGCAGGAAAAGGCUACCAGUUAUACCACUGCCUUGACAAUAAUAUCAUUAGUCAUGAGGUCAUUUGACUGCAGGAAAAGGCUACCAGUUAUACCACUGCCUUGACAAUAAUAUCAUUAGUCAUGAGGUCAUUUGACUGCAGGAAAAGGCUACCAGUUAUACCACUGCCUUGACAAUAAUAUCAUUAGUCAUGAGGUCAUUUGACUGCAGGAAAAGGCUACCAGUUAUACCACUGCCUUGACAAUAAUAUCAUUAGUCAUGAGGUCAUUUGACUGCAGGAAAAGGCUACCAGUUAUACCACUGCCUUGACAAUAAUAUCAUUAG